UACGUAGGGUCCGAGCGUUGUCCGGAAUUAUUGGGCGUAAAGAGCUCGUAGGCGGUCUGUCGCGUCGGCUGUGAAAACUCGGGGCUCAACCCCGAGCCUGCAGUCGAUACGGGCAGACUAGAGUUCGGUAGGGGAGACUGGAACUCCUGGUGUAGCGGUGAAAUGCGCAGAUAUCAGGAGGAACACCGGUGGCGAAGGCGGGUCUCUGGGCCGAAACUGACGCUGAGGAGCGAAAGCGUGGGGAGCGAACAGG
rnacentral:rRNA from 1 species